GGAGUUGUGGCUCAGUGGCAGAGCGCUUGCCUCACGUGCAUGGGGCUCUGGGUUCGAUCCUCAGCACCA
rnacentral:tRNA from 1 species